rfam:Aedes aegypti strain Liverpool supercont1.101 genomic scaffold, whole genome shotgun sequence.
CCGUAGCGGUAAACGCGCAGCUUUUCAGCAAGACCAAGCUGAGGGUCGUGGGUUCAAAUCCCACCGG